GGAAAUGUGGCUCAGGGAUAGAGCAUUUACUUGUCAUGUGCAAGGUUCUAGGUUCAAUCCCUAGCAUCA
rnacentral:tRNA from 1 species